ACACACUAAAAAAUAAAAUAUAUUAAUUAAAUAUGGUAAUUAACAAAGAAAUGUUGGGUUGGCAUAAAAAAUAACAAUUAUCGCAUUUCGAUUAAGACCAAGCUAUAAUCUACGCGAUGAUUAACUAUUAGGAAAUCAUAACGACGAACAGAUGGAGGUCUUAAAAUUGUAUAAAGGAAAUAUUUUUGAAAUAUAUUUUUUUGUCAAAGACAAACUUUUUUAUAGCAUAAGAAGUGAUCUUUACAUGAAAUAUAGUUGAGACUUAAACUAGUAAUAUGUGAACAAUAAUAAUAAUAGUGAAGGUAGGGUAUAGCAUUUAUUAAAAUAAAAAAUUAUCCUGUACUGGCCACACUGACAACUUUGUAAAAUUAAUAUUGAUCAAACUACAUGGAAAACCCAAAACCGUAGCCUAAAUUUCUAUUGGACGCAUCAACUAUUUACAAGUGAAUGUCCUGUCAACAUCAAACGAGCCAUUCUAAGAUAAACAGGAACAAACAGACAGACGAAGAACAUUUUACGCAGACAAUAUUUUAGUUUAUGUAUUAAGUGGCUAUUCUAAUAGCAUGAUCAACACCAAUUUUAUGUACUUGUAUCUGUAAAAUGAAUAACUUGAAUGUAAUACCUUUUCAGUAAUGAUCAUAUCCACACAGUUCUUGCCGGUGAGUGGUAAAGUGCAUUCCGGUAAUAUUUUGUGUGAGCCGUUCUUGGCCGCAUGUUCCAUUGUCACAACAACCUUGGUGCGAGGCGCUGAUACCAGAUCCAUUGCGCCUCCCAUACCUUUCACCAUUUUACCCUGGAAAUUUGAAAGAGUAUCAUCCAAUUAGCAAGGUCGCCGUAUCUCGAGACCUGCAUAGCACCCAGGACUGUGAGAUCUAUGUGACCACCACGGAUCAUAGCAAAACUAUCAUCUGAUGAAAAGUAUGAAGCGCCUGU